CCCUGCAACUCACAACUGGCAACCCACUGAAGCUAAGCAGGUGUGAGCCUGGUCAGUACCUGGAUGGGAGACCUCCUGGGAAAAACUAAGGUUGCUGCUGGAA
rnacentral:rRNA from 1 species